UAGGGUUCGAUUAUGGCUCAGAACGUACGCUGGCGGCACGCCUAACACAUGCAAGUCGAACGCAGUAGCAAUACUGAGUGGCAAACGGGUGAGUAUAAUGUGGGAAUCUGCCUUUCGGUUUGGAAUAACACGGGGAAACUUGUGCUAAUACCGAAUAAGCCCUUACGGGGAAAGUUUUAACGCCGAAAGAUGAGCCUGCACUUGAUUAGCUAGUUGGUAAGGUAAAGGCUUACCAAGGCAACGAUCAAUAGCUGUUCUUAGAGGAAGACCAGCCACAUUGGGACUGAGACACGGCCCAGACUCCUACGGGAGGCAGCAGUGGGGAAUCUUGCACAACGGGGGAAACCCUGAUGCAGCGAUGCCGCGUGAGUGAAGAAGGCCCUUGGGUUGUAAAACUCUUUCGUCGGGGAAGAAAAUGACUGUACCCGAAUAAGAAGGUCCGGCUAACUUCGUGCCAGCAGCCGCGGUAAUACGAAGGGACCUAGCGUAGUUCGGAAUUACUGGGCUUAAAGAGCUCGUAGGUGGUUAAAAAAGUUGAUGGUGAAAUCCCAAGGCUCAACCUUGGAACUGCCAUCAAAACUUUUUAGCUAGAGUGUGAUAGAGGUAAGUGGAAUU
rnacentral:rRNA from 1 species